AGGAGCGGGAUUGCUGGAUCAGGACCUCACGGGCGGCGCGGUUGAAGACAACCUGAGAUCUCUGCAUCUGCGGGAGGGCCGCGACUUCCUUCACUUCAGCUGACGGACCCGCGGCAGCCGCUCCAGGUGGCGGACGUGCUGAGGCGUCAGAGCUGCGGUGCCACUGAGGUUGAGCCCCGCCCCGACGGGUGACGUGAACAUGGCAGGAAGUGCCAGGCUGGCGCGGCCU
rnacentral:lncRNA from 1 species